rnacentral:rRNA from 1 species
CGAGGACGAACGCUGGCGGCGUGCCUAACACAUGCAAGUCGAGCGAGGAGAUUCCUUCGGGAUGAUCCUAGCGGCGGACGGGUGAGUAACACGUGGGCAACCUGCCUCAUAGAGAGGAAUAGCCUUCCGAAAGGGAGAUUAAUACCUCAUAACAUUGCAGUUUCGCAUGGAACAGCAAUUAAAGGAGUAAUCCGCUAUGAGAUGGGCCCGCGGCGCAUUAGCUAGUUGGUGAGGUAACGGCUCACCAAGGCGACGAUGCGUAGCCGACCUGAGAGGGUGAUCGGCCACAUUGGGACUGAGACACGGCCCAGACUCCUACGGGAGGCAGCAGUGGGGAAUAUUGCACAAUGGGGGAAACCCUGAUGCAGCCAACGCCGCGUGAGUGAUGACGGCCUUCGGGUUGUAAAGCUCUGUCUUCAGGGACGAUAAUGACGGUACCUGAGGAGGAAGCCACGGCUAACUACGUGCCAGCAGCUGC